rnacentral:rRNA from 1 species
CAGCCGCCGCGGGAAUACGGAGGGUGCAAGCGUUAAUCGGAAUUACUGGGCGUAAAGCGCACGCAGGCGGUCUGACAAGUCAGAUGUGAAAUCCCCGGGCUUAACCUGGGAACUGCAUUUGAAACUGUCAGGCUGGAGUCUUGUAGAGGGGGGUGGAAUUCCAGGUGUAGCGGUGAAAUGCGUAGAGAUCUGGAGGAAUACCGGUGGCGAAGGCGGCCCCCUGGACAAAGACUGACGCUCAGGUGCGAAAGCGUGGGGAGCAAACAGGAUUAGAGACCCCGGUAGUCCCUGUCUCUUAUAA